rnacentral:ribozyme from 1 species
GGUAGCAGCACUCCUAUCCCUACCUCCUCGUGGUACUGGCCGGGGUACGAGUAACCUUGGGGAAGAUCGGGUAACCAACCCCCGGUGGGAACUUUGGUCGUAUGCUGACAGGGAAGG